CGCGCCGUCGUCGUCUCAGGUUGGAAGAGGAGGCCCCGCGUGGGGAAAGCCCCUCCUGAAAGACCCCUGAACUCAGCACGGGUCACGGCACUUGAGCGGACUCUGCGCGAAUUUCCGGCCCGCAGUAGCGGCGAAGUGAUUGUUCCAGAGGUUGGGGUUACUUUUGAUUCGAUAGGCGAGGCCUAUGACUUUUACAAUCUGUACUCAUGGGAACGGGGUUCGGAGUUAGAUAUGGCAAAAUUCUUUUUUUCCAGUCUUCUCAAGAAACUAUGUAUCCCUUCUCCUGAUGCUUACCUGCCUUUUUUCUCCGUUGAACUUUUCGCGAGCAGGGUUGGAUUGUCUACAAAGUUGGGGAGCCAAUCGAGAAACACGCCGCAAAGAUAUAUACGCGUACAAUGUUCGAGAAGUUCCAGGAAUGUUUGUACAAGGCCGGUUCUUACUAUGUUGACGAGUUGGUGCCAGGAGAGGUGUAUGCUGCGACACACUUUGACAGUGAGAGCCGAGAGAAGUGGUGCAAGGUGAAGUACAAAAUUACAGUUAGCGCCGGCUGUUAUACAUGCGAAUGCGGUAUGUAACACAUGGGCAUGCUCUGUUGCCAUGUGCUGAAGGUUCUGUCCCAUCUUAGGAUGAAAGAGAUUCCAGCCGCGCAUGUGCUGAGGAGAUUCCAGCCGCGCAUGGUAGUACCCCGAACACCUUGUGCACAUCAGCUGGCCAGAAGCGUAGCUUCCCAAUGUGGCCCAGGUCAAUCGCCAUUGCUUCUGACAUCUACUAUGCUCAUUAACCAUGCACUGAACUUCAAAUUUAGCUUCUUCUGCCUGGGAAUGUUCAGUGUCCCUCCGAAUCCAGCUUCCUGCACCAACCACCUCUUGUAUUCAUCGAAGGUGUCAACAACAUCGCUGACGGUAUUCACUGACAGGCGUGAUGUGAAUGUGCCAGGCAGUACUCCAUCGUUGCACUCGGGGCUGGUCGGUGGGCUGAUACCUCCACAUGGGCCAGGAUAGGAGGCUGUGUUCCUCCCGGACCUUGAGGCGGCGGACGAACCCCUGGAUCUGCUUGCAUCCCUUCUAUGAGCAUGAUCUGACAUAGAUCCAGCACGGUGGCAACACCACCGGAGUAUUGAACUGCAAAAAAAAUGGGCAGUAAGUACAUGAAAUUCCAGGGUUUUCACGGUCAGUUGGAAUGCUAGAUACUAUGGAGCAACUAGAUCAAAUGAACAUCAACAAAAACAGAAAUAAACAAUCCUUGAUGCAUAUCAGAGGGAGCAAGCAGUGGAAUGGCGACUAACCUUCUUCGUGAGGAGAGAUGCACGAGGCCAGCACCUUGGUCAGAGCUGGCUGGAUCUUGAUCGGCCUGUAACUGAUUUGGGGAUUUUGACUACUGGAGUGGAUCUGGGGCUGGCUUGCACUUGCACAUAGCAUAGGCUGGCUGGCUUGGCGUCCUCCGGCGGCUUUAAUGGAGAAAAAUGUAGGACGGGGCACAGCUUUGUGCAACCGUAAGAAUGAACAGUAAAAAACUCGGCGAAGAGAUGGUCUGGGGCUAUGCAAAAACGGUGGGGGAGCAUCGUGCGCCCACCUGUCUAUGGCUAUGCAUCGUCGCGUGCUGCUGAUGGUGCAGGGCAAAGAAUUUAUCAAGGCAAUGAGACAGACAAGAACCAAACACUGGAAUUUCAGAUACGUCUUCGAAUUACAUCCUUCGAAAUAAACCGUGUGGCAGAUCAAAUUAGCGGGGGCAAAAUUAUC